rnacentral:lncRNA from 1 species
GCCCAGGAUUUCAUUUCCAAUGGGAUUAUAGAGCAGUCGCUAAAUAAAAAUACCUAAAUAUAUUUACAUGGGGUAACAGGGCCCCCCUCCCUUGUUACAAUAACGUAACUCAACAUUUGCUCUGCCACCAAACCUGAGAAACAGCUUGAAAGUCUCAGAUCGUGGGAGUUAACUGAUUGACAUGCUGUUUCCCUUUUAACCUGACUUGAGGUUCGUGAUUUGUAUGAUGUUUGAUUACAUUAAGACGUGCAAUCGAAAUGUGAUUCAUUUUGGCAAAUUCGUAACUUAUGUUAUAAACACUCCAAUAACAUUUUGUAAUUUAUAUACACGUGUGAUACGUUACAAUUUAGUGUUGGUAAUAGCACUGGGAUAAGUUUUGAGUUCUGGGUAGGAAAAAAUCACCUUGUUGUAUUCUAACUGGCCAGUGGGGUGAAGCAAUGGUGGGUUUCUGCCAACCCACCAUCCACGACUGGUACCAGAAUCCCUUAUUAACUCUUACUGUGCUCUUCACUUCUAACUGCUGGUCUUUACUCUAACAUUACCUAAUAUAAAGUAAUCAAAUAUUUAUGUAAAAUCCUUUACAUUUCCUCUUGAGAACAGUGUGAAUAACUCAGAAGUUAAAAUUCUUAUCAGCACCUAUUUAUACAAAUCUGUGAAGUCUUCGCGUUUCGGUAUGAUUGUAACUUGCCCAUUACAUUGAGAUAGUAUUUAGUAAUGUAAAAUAUGGGUAAGGCCCAUAUCAAACGUUGUACUAGCUUACAGUUCCAUAAAACAAUCGAAAUCGAAAGUGUAUGUCAGUCUGUCCAUGUUGCAAUCAGAUGUACGCAGACCCAGACGAGAACAGCCUUAAACGAUUUUGCGGAAUCCAAAGAUGAGUUUACUUAUGACAAUGUUGUUUUUGGCGAUCCCUUGUGCCUGUAACAGCAAAUCUGAGAGUAUGUUUUCCAUAAUUAUGUAUGUUUUAUAUUAAUUGUUUUCAGCUUAUUGUUAACCUUCUGUGUUGUUGAAAUAACUAUAUAUUUUUACUAGGAAUAAAUUGAAGUAUAAUAACAUUUGUAACAUUAUGACAACA